AGAAAGAAGGGAGGAAGUGAGAAUCUUGGUCAGCACCACACUGCACAGCAGCUUUAGGUUAGCUUCCAAGGCUCAUAGUUGGCUUUUGCCACCAGCAGUAGCCAACCUGCUUUGCCCUUCCCUGGUUUCGGGGGAGAUUUUGCCUCUCAGGCCCUGUGUUUGCUUCAUCGCUAGGACACACUCAGGAUCUGGAGAAGAUGUCCCUCUGUCAUCAUUCCCUCUGACCUGAGCUCCUGUCAAGCAUUUUUCAUCAUCUCCAUGGGCAAUGGGCCACAGAAUCACCUGAUUCUCUUGCACCAGAGUGUCCUUCUAUCAUCAUGCUCCUGCGCCACACAACUGAAGUGCUCUCCAGUUAGAGCAUGGCUAUUUUAUGGAGAUAGACUGCACUCCUAUUUAAUAGGAUUUGGCAAGAAAAAUAUGGAGAGACUAAAAGGAAAAAUAAACUGCUUUCACUGGAGAUACAUCUAAAGAACAAUUGGUUAACUGAAACAAUUUUCCUUUGACAUUUAAUGCCUCCCUUGAACAAAAGGUUUCCAAGCUGCUCCACAGCUUGACUCUGAAUGAGUUCAACGAUUAAUUUAUCUGACGAAAGGUGCUCCAUGCUUCACUAUGUCCUCGAACAAAGAGAAAUUGAUUCUUCAAUAUCAUUGUUUUCACAUGGUAAGUGGUAGCACAAAUGAUUCAUUUAUAAUUCUCUGUGCAUAAGCCUUUAGAUUAUGGCAGGUUAUUGAAAUACUUCAAGCUAUUUAUCAUGAUCUCAUCAGCAGUACCCAGACAAAUAACUAAUCUUAUCAAUUCUGGAGUAGAAAACAUAAAAACAAAACAAGGUGACUUUUAUGCAUCCACAUACUACAGAAUGUUUGCUACGUCCAGCUUCAUGACUGACCAGCAGUUGCCUUUGAUCUUAGGUGGUUUGCCUGUUAUGCUCUGGUCUUAAUUAUCUGAGUUUCAGUGAAUGCUUCAUCCAGUGAUACACAUAUAAUAAUAUGUGACUUGACUGACUGUAAUGAA
rnacentral:lncRNA from 12 species